rnacentral:rRNA from 1 species
GGCUCAGGAUGAACGCUAGCUACAGGCUUAACACAUGCAAGUCGAGGGGCAGCAUGGUCUUAGCUUGCUAAGGCCGAUGGCGACCGGCGCACGGGUGAGUAACACGUAUCCAACCUGCCGUCUACUCUUGGACAGCCUUCUGAAAGGAAGAUUAAUACAAGAUGGCAUCAUGAGUCCGCAUGUUCACAUGAUUAAAGGUAUUCCGGUAGACGAUGGGGAUGCGUUCCAUUAGAUAGUAGGCGGGGUAACGGCCCACCUAGUCUUCGAUGGAUAGGGGUUCUGAGAGGAAGGUCCCCCACAUUGGAACUGAGACACGGUCCAAACUCCUACGGGAGGCAGCAGUGAGGAAUAUUGGUCAAUGGGCGAGAGCCUGAACCAGCCAAGUAGCGUGAAGGAUGACUGCCCUAUGGGUUGUAAACUUCUUUUAUAAAGGAAUAAAGUCGGGUAUGGAUACCCGUUUGCAUGUACUUUAUGAAUAAGGAUCGGCUAACUCCGUGCCAGCAGCCGCGGUAAUACGGAGGAUCCGAGCGUUAUCCGGAUUUAUUGGGUUUAAAGGGAGCGUAGAUGGAUGUUUAAGUCAGUUGUGAAAGUUUGCGGCUCAACCGUAAAAUUGCAGUUGAUACUGGAUAUCUUGAGUGCAGUUGAGGCAGGCGGAAUUCGUGGUGUAGCGGUGAAAUGCUUAGAUAUCACGAAGAACUCCGAUUGCGAAGGCAGCCUGCUAAGCUGCAACUGACAUUGAGGCUCGAAAGUGUGGGUAUCAAACAGGAUUAGAUACCCUGGUAGUCCACACGGUAAACGAUGAAUACUCGCUGUUUGCGAUAUACUGCAAGCGGCCAAGCGAAAGCGUUAAGUAUUCCACCUGGGGAGUACGCCGGCAACGGUGAAACUCAAAGGAAUUGACGGGGGCCCGCACAAGCGGAGGAACAUGUGGUUUAAUUCGAUGAUACGCGAGGAACCUUACCCGGGCUUAAAUUGCAGAUGAAUUACGGUGAAAGCCGUAAGCCGCAAGGCAUCUGUGAAGGUGCUGCAUGGUUGUCGUCAGCUCGUGCCGUGAGGUGUCGGCUUAAGUGCCAUAACGAGCGCAACCCUUGUUGUCAGUUACUAACAGGUUCCGCUGAGGACUCUGACAAGACUGCCAUCGUAAGAUGUGAGGAAGGUGAGGAUGACGUCAAAUCAGCACGGCCCUUACGUCCGGGGCUACACACGUGUUACAAUGGGGGGUACAGAGGGCCGCUACCACGCGAGUGGAUGCCAAUCCCAAAAACCUCUCUCAGUUCGGACUGGAGUCUGCAACCCGACUCCACGAAGCUGGAUUCGCUAGUAAUCGCGCAUCAGCCACGGCGCGGUGAAUACGUUCCCGGGCCUUGUACACACCGCCCGUCAAGCCAUGGGAGCCGGGGGUACCUGAAGUGCGUAACCGCGAGGAGCGCCCUAGGGUAAAACUGGUGACUGGGGCUAAGUCGUAACAAGGUACCC